rnacentral:rRNA from 1 species
AUUGAACGCUGGCGGUAUGCUUAACACAUGCAAGUCGAACGGCAGCACGGUCUGUAGUAAUACAGAUGGGUGGCGAGUGGCGGACGGGUGAGUAAUACGCAGGAGUCUGCCCUAUAGAGGGGGAUAACUCGAGGAAACUCGAGCUAAUACCGCAUAGUCUCUACGGAGUAAAGCUGGGGCAACCUGGCGCUAUAGGAGGAGCCUGCGUCUGAUUAGCUAGUUGGUGGGGUAAAGGCCUACCAAGGCGACGAUCAGUAGGUGGUCUGAGGGGAUGAUCACCCACACUGGGACUGAGACACGGCCCAGACUCCUACGGGAGGCAGCAGUGGGGAAUAUUGGACAAUGGGGGCAACCCUGACCCAGCAAUACCGCGUGUGUGAAGAAGGCCUUAGGGUUGUAAAGCACUUUAGGCGGGGAAGAAGGUAUGUAUUUUAAGAGAUAACAUAUUUGACGGUACCCGCAGAAUAAGCACCGGCUAACUCUGUGCCAGCCGCCGCAGUAA